rnacentral:rRNA from 1 species
UACGUAGGGUGCAAGCGUUAAUCGGAAUUACUGGGCGUAAAGCGUGCGCAGGCGGUUUUGUAAGUCUGUCGUGAAAGCCCCCGGGCUCAACCUGGGAAUUGCGAUGGAGACUGCAAGGCUUGAAUCUGGCAGAGGGGGGUAGAAUUCCACGUGUAGCAGUGAAAUGCGUAGAGAUGUGGAGGAACACCGAUGGCGAAGGCAGCCCCCUGGGUCAGAUUGACGCUCAUGCACGAAAGCGUGGGGAGCAAACAGG